GAAGAGCGGAGCAGGAGCAGGAGAACCUGUUUCAAAGUGGAAGUACUUCGACCUCAUGCUCUUCCUGAGGGACAUUGUAGAACCACGCCCAACAACAAGCAACCUGGAUGUUCCCAAUUCACUGGACGAGGUCCUCAGGGAUACCGACGACGACCCGUCAGCACUGUUUGGUUCAAUGCUGCCCCACCAAGGUGCCGGCAGUGAAGACACAACAGACAUUGAACUCCCACAUGAGGAUGACAUGACACAAACACGAUCAUCAACACCUCUCUCAAACAUUUCGCCCCAUGACCCCGCUCAAUCUACACAGCCUUCCUCCCUUUCUUCGCACUCCCCAACACAAACACACGAAGCUGCAUCCACUAUUACACGCACAACUUUUCAAACAAAAA